UAGACAGUCCAGGGAAAAUGAAUGAAUGAAUUGUGAUUUUUGAGAGCACUGGUCAGUUUUUUCUACCAUUAUUCUAAUUUAAUUCAUUAUUAAAUAUCAUUACUCUGUUGAUGCAUUUUUAUUCAUUUCUACCAUAAAAUAUCUAAACCUAUCAUCCUCAUCUCUUUAGUGAACUGUGCACACUGCAGCGUGACCUUUGCGUGUGGUCUGCACUGAUGCAUAUGGAGGCCUGUAGCCGACUGUCAGUCAUACUCUUACCACUGUCUUGUUUGUUCCACAUUGUUUCCUUCCCAUUGUCCUUGAGUACAAAGAUAACCCUGUGAAAUUCCUCCUGAGCCUCUGACGAAAUGGCAGCAACUGAUGAGGGGCACCGAGAACACAUAAAGCAGAUGCCGCAAUCGUAAAGGUCUCCAGGCGCAUAAAUAAACGUCAAGUGGUACAUGUUGGCACCCUUGCUAGCCGUACACAUACUACUUAAGUUACAUGGCCAAUUGAGGCAAAACGAUGCGGGUCACAAGACAAGCGUUUAUUCUUAACCAACAGGGAGCGUUGAGUUAAAAGUGAAAAACAGAAUAAAGGUCAUCGCUUUCUUGCUCUGUUUGCGCACUAAGUAAUUCAAACACAAUGGUUAGGAUUUAUUCUUAUUAUACACAUUUUAAUGGAUGCCUAAAAUAUUCAUUAGCUCUUUAGGAAGCAUGAACUUUAGGAAGCAAUUUUAAGAGUCCAGUGAUUCUUAAAAACAAUAAUAGUAAUUGUUGGUGUGUAUUUUCAAAGCAAAAUACAAGAAUUGAAGCAAAUUAUGGCAUAACAUUUAAGAAAAGCAUGCAUAUUUAGCAUGCAUAUAGUUAAAAAAUGUCCCUGCAGCAUCCUACAGGGACUAAUUGAUGGAUAAGGAGGCCUGUCGCUGACUGUCAGAGGUCUAAUAACUGCUUGUUAACCCUAAGAACAAAAGGUAAAAGUUUAAGAUGCUGCUAGAUUUCUCUCAAAUCCCAAAGGUCUCUUCAGAGUCUUGAGGUGUCAAGCUAACACUCAUCAUCUCCUCACAUGAUAACUAUGGUAAUGCGUCUUAAUAUAUCUCGAGCACAUUUCACUGUGGUUUAAGGUUGCAGGACGGUUGGUUCCUCUGUAAAUGUGUGGAGCUCCUCCCUCUAUUCAUCUGUUAGGCUCCACCUCCAGCACCGGCCUGUUCACCUUCAAACACUACAGUUUGCCAGCAGACGCUCUUCGCUUUAGUCAUUCAGCGCUCAGCCUGCAGCUCUUCAUCUCAUUUUCAUUGUUGAGUUCAGCUGCUUUGAUUUGCUUAAUUGUUUAAUAUAUAAUUAUCUCUCAUUUAUUUUGAGGUCACACAAGGAGGAUGACAGGAGCAGGUCUCACAAGGAGGAUGACAGGAGCAGUGUAAAGGACAUUUAGCCCAGAGAUGGACGCUUCAUAUUGCAGGAUGUGGAAACACACCAUAAGUUGAAAAACUAAAAUAUGAGAAUGAUGGCAGCUGUGACAGAAGAACUGUUUUCUAAACAUCUGGCAAACAGCCUUCCACACAUAAGGCAAGAAGCACCAGCAUGACACCUCACACCUUUACAUUGUUUUCUGUUUGCCACAGACAGACACAAAACUGAACAUUGUUUAGAGCAGGGAUGUCCAAACUUGGUUUUGGAUGGCCGUGUCCUUGAGAGUUUAGCUCCAACCCUAAACAAACACACCUGAACCAGCUAAUCAAGCUCUUGCUAGAUCAGGGGUGUCCAGAGUCAGU